rnacentral:rRNA from 1 species
UACGAAGGGGGCUAGCGUUGCUCGGAAUUACUGGGCGUAAAGGGCGCGUAGGUGGUCUUUUAAGUCGGGGGUGAAAUCCUGGAGCUCAACUCCAGAACUGCCUUCGAUACUGGAAGACUUGAGUCCGGGAGAGGGGAGUGGAACUGCGAGUGUAGAGGUGAAGUUCGUAGAUAUUCGCAAGAACACCAGUGGCGAAGGCGGCUCACUGGCCCGGUACUGACGCUGAGGUGCGAAAGCGUGGGGAGCAGACAGG